rnacentral:rRNA from 1 species
UACGGGGGGGGCAAGCGUUGUUCGGAAUUACUGGGCGUAAAGGGCUCGUAGGCGGCCAACUAAGUCAGACGUGAAAUCCCCAGGCUCAACCUGGGAACUGCGUCUGAUACUGGUUGGCUUGAAUCCGGGAGAGGGAUGCAGAAUUCCAGGUGUAGCGGUGAAAUGCGUAGAUAUCUGGAGGAAUACCGGUGGCGAAGGCAGCCCCCUGGGUCAAGAUUGACGCUCAUGCACGAAAGCGUGGGGAGCAAACAGG